ACGCAUGUUGCAUCCCCGGGCUUCUCUUAGAGAUCGAUGACGCGAAAACCCCAAUGCUCGUGCAAAAUUCACGUCGUUCGUGUUGCAGUUCAGCCCUAAUUUUUCAUGGUUGUGAUCUGUGUCAAAGCAACGGCUAAAUUC
rfam:Lupinus angustifolius cultivar Tanjil chromosome LG13, whole genome shotgun sequence.